UUUUUUUGACUUUUUUUUUUUAAAAUCUAAAUUUUUUAUUAUACAUACUGUAUUACACUGAAAAUACGUACCCAAAGACAGAAUAUUUUGAAUUUACAUCUGUACAAAAAAACCAAACAAAAACCAAUAGAAAACAUACGGGCUAUGCUAUAGAUGUGACAUUUUACAAAAUGACAGUUUUUGUUAAAGGCACCAGAUUCCCAGAGGACUCUGGCUUAACAUUUUUAGUCUUUUUUUUUUCCAGUCAGAUCUUACUAUGAAAAUGUGAUUCACUCUUAAACCAUAUGAUGUCAAAGUCUCAAGAUUAUUUUAUCUAGACAAGUGGUCUGCACUUUGAAACAACUUGUGAGAGAAGCGACCAAUUCCACAUGGAGAUGUCAAGCAAUUACCAAAGGCUCCUCUCCACUGUAUCCAGGAUCCUAUGGUAUUGAACUGAAAGAUUCAAUGGCAAAGCCAGCACUGAAAAUCAGGUUAACCCACAAAAUACCAGCCCAAUACUAGAGUGUUAACUGUACUAAGCCUAGACUGGAUUAUAUGGAGGUAACUACAAAGCAUUAGAGUAGCAAAAGAAUGAACAGAAAGAUGGAAUCUGUGAUCUCAGCAUCCUUCUUGGGCUCCCUUCCAUCAUUACACUCAUUUCACUCUUUCUGGUCCUCACAGCACACAUGAAAGAAAAUGGAGCCUUCAGAAACCCAGCACUUCACUAUAGGACAAGCUGUUGAAGAACCCUUGGUAAGAUGAAUGUGCUCUUUUUCCCCUAAAAACAAAGUCUGGACAGGACAGGGAAAACACACGCCAGUUUCACUGCUUCUUUCUCCAAUAUUUCAUACUCAAAUCAAAGAACCUAAUUCACAUCGUGCCUAGGCUUGCACAGACAGGAGCUUCUCUACAAGCAAGGGCAAGAGAGACUGGGACAUCCCCCUUGAUGAGGUGCAGUUCAAGUCAAAAGUUCUUAAAUUUGGGCUUGCUAUUUCCUAAAACUUCAUGCUUGGUAAAGGCAUGAGGAAAGGACAAAAGCAAAGCUUUAAGAAAACUCUGAAUUACUUCUUUGGUCAACUCAGUACAUCUACAAGUAAUUCUAGAAUAAAUAAAUGCUUUUGUUUAACCUUACAGCACACACUGAGCCUCACUGAAUAGCUUCACAUCCAAGUGACUGAGUAUUCAAGACAAAAAAAAAAAAAAAAAUCAAGUUCCAAGGCCAGAUUUUGUUCUGUAUGUAACAAUUCCAAUAUAUUGGAAUUUCAAUUUGAAGUUUCCCUUUCUGAUUUGUCUGGCAUUAUUCCUACUUUCAGCACACAAAUUUGAUGAUUUCAUUCACUGAACCAAAGAACUGCAUAUAGUUUCAUUUCUCACUGUAUGAUUUUAAUGAUGUUGCAGAAACUUCCCCUCUUUAGGCAUUUAAACACUUUAUACAUUCACAGAUCAAGUUGAAGUAAUCUUCUGGUAUUGAGGGUCAUAGAGUGACUUAAAAAAAUUAAUUUUGCAGUGUUAAAUUGUCUUAUCCUAAUGAGUUAACAGAAUUAAAAAUAUACUACAGUUCUACUUAAAAUUUCCAUUUAUUGCCUAUGACUGACUUUAGACAAACAGGGUGGAGACAGACUGCACUAUGCAGCAAUUACAAACAGCAGCACGGUUAAGCUUCCUACAUACUAGUGCACUCAAAUGACUCCACUGCAUUCUAGAAGGGCUUCUUGAAGAGCAGAGGGACAGCUAUCUCCUCCCAAAAACAGGUCUGAAAUGCAGACUUCUGUGGCUGCAGAAAGUUUAGUGAGGGACCAACCAUUAAUCUCAAGGAAGUCAAAAGAGCCACCACACAGCAGCUCCUGACCAUGACUGAACUGCACAGGUCUUGCAUCAACAGUUUACAAUACAUGACAGUACACACCCCUCAAGCCAGCCAAUUUUCUAAAUGCUCAUUUUUAACAACUGUGUCUGAUACUUGCAGCUCAUCUAGCAAGCAGGAACACUUAAGGCAGAAGUAUCACACACAUGUACCGAAAACUGGUCAUCACAAGGAAACUUUAAAAUCUGAAUGCAGACAACAAAAGGAAUGUCACUUUUCUUUAAACCUUUCUCCUAGAAGAUGAAUACUUUCAUGUCCUAUCAUUAGCCCUCACUGUGUAACACUCUAAAACCAAAUAAGUUAUAACCAUAACACAUUCUACUAAACUCUAAAAACUAAAAUUCACUACUCACCCUCACUUGUCAAGCUGUUUUCUAGCUGUUUAAAAAGAAAAGUUGGAAUCAAAAUUGCAAUCUCCAUUGUUUCUGAAAUGGGUAAUUCUGGGGGGGACAGCCCCGAUGUGACAGUUAUAUGUGAGCAACUUUCACACUAAAACAUGCACAACACUCUGUAACAGCAGCAGUUACCAUCAAAUAACCUGCCUGUUACAGGAGCUAGAACAUUCUGUGUAUUUGCUUAAAUAAAGCUAAGAAAUCUACACUUUUGGUCACAUCUUAAAACACUGCAGAAUACAGGGCAUUUUUUAAAAUAAUAUUUAUACUUUCCCUGUCCUGUUGGGUAGUUUGAUUGAAAAACAAAGAUUAAAAUGCAGUAAAAAAUUCCCCAAUAAAAAAAGAUUCUAAUCAGACAUCUAAAUGUCUUUAUAAGUAUACAAGUGUACUAUGGGAUUUGGUCUGCUUGUUU
rnacentral:lncRNA from 1 species